rnacentral:rRNA from 1 species
AACGAACGCUGGCGGCAUGCCUAACACAUGCAAGUCGAACGAGACCUUCGGGUCUAGUGGCGCACGGGUGCGUAACGCGUGGGAACCUGCCUUUAGGUUCGGAAUAACUCAGAGAAAUUUGAGCUAAUACCGAAUAAUGUCUUCGGACCAAAGAUUUAUCGCCUUUAGAUGGGCCCGCGUUGGAUUAGCUAGUUGGUGGGGUAAAGGCCUACCAAGGCGACGAUCCAUAGCUGGUCUGAGAGGAUGAUCAGCCACACUGGGACUGAGACACGGCCCAGACUCCUACGGGAGGCAGCAGUGGGGAAUAUUGGACAAUGGGCGAAAGCCUGAUCCAGCAAUGCCGCGUGAGUGAUGAAGGCCUUAGGGUUGUAAAGCUCUUUUACCCGAGAUGAUAAUGACA